GCUGGGCAUGGUGGCGCAUGCCUGUAGUCCCAGCUACUCGGGAGGCUGAGGCAGAAGAAUUGCUUGAACCCAGGAGACAGAGGUUGCAGUGAGCCGAAAGCAUGCCACUGCACUCCAGCCUGGGUGACAGAGCAAGACUCCAUCUCAA
ensembl:misc_RNA Metazoa_SRP Metazoan signal recognition particle RNA